UUUUUUUUUAUAAUAACUUUAUAUUGACAGAAUCCAUGCCAGGGUAAUUUUUUUUUACAACAUUAUCCCUUGCACUCACUUCUGUUCCGAUUUUUCCCCUCCCUUCCUCCACCCCCUCCCCUAGAUGGCAAACAGUCCUAUAUAUGUUAGAUAUGUUGCAGUAUAUCCUAGAUACAAUAUAUGUUUGCAGAACCGAACAGUUCUCUUGUUGCACAGGGAGAAUUGGAUUCACAAGGUAAAAAUAACCUGGGAAGAAAAACAAAAAUGCAAAUAGUUCACAUUCAUUUCCCAGUGUUCUUUCUUUGGAUGUAGCUGCUUCUGUCCAUCAUUUAUCAAUUGAAACUCAGUUAGGUCUCUUUGUCAAAGAAAUCCACUUCCAUCAAAAUAUGUCCUCAUACAAUAUCGUUGUCGAAGUGUAUAAUAAUCUCCUGGUUCUGCUCAUUUCACUUAGCAUCAGUUCAUGUAAGUCUCGCCAGUCCUCUCUGUAUUCAUCCUGCUGGUCAUUUCUUACAGAACAAUAAUAUUCCAUAACAUUCAUAUACCACAAUUUACCCAGCCAUUCUCCAAUUGAUGGGCAUCCAUUCAUUUUCCAGUUUCUAGCCACUACAAACAGGGCUGCUACAAACAUUUUGGCACAUACAGGUCCCUUUUCUUUCUUUAGUAUUUCUUUGGGAUAUAAGCCCAAUAGGAACACUGCUGGAUCAAAGGGUAUGCACAAUUUGAUAACUUUUUGGGCAUAAUUCCAGAUUGCUCUCCAGAAUGGUUGGAUUCGUUCACAACUCCACCAACAAUGCAUUAGUGUCCCAGGUUUCCCGCAUCCCUUCCAACAUUCAUCAUUAUUUUUUCCUGUCAUCUUAGCCAAUCUGACAGG